GUUGAAACGGAAGCAAGCUGAAUGAAGCCACAUGGUUUAUGUUAUAUUUGGAAAUGGGAAGAGGUUUAAAAAGUUCAGUGCAGAGAACAGCAAAAGUUUACAGGUCUGUGCCUCAUAUCCCCAGCGGCGGUCAAACUCGCGUUUACCCUCGUCCAAUCGAAUGACAGGAAGGCGAACAAGGCCUGGCAAAUCUUCGAAAUUCUAGAGAACAGGAGAAAAUUACAGUGUUUCACAUGAGUCGAUAAUGGCAAAAUCUAUUAUGAGUAAAAGAUCAUUAUUUUAUGUGUACAGCGCUCUUGGGAAACUGUGCUCAGUGCAUGCGCAUCUCAUCCCAGAUUAUGCUGCACAGACCACAGGAGGGA